UACGUAGGGGGCAAGCGUUGUUCGGAAUUACUGGGCGUAAAGGGCGCGUAGGCGGCCUUCUAAGUCGGACGUGAAAUCCCUCGGCUUAACCGAGGAACUGCGUCUGAUACUGAAAGGCUUGAAUCCGGGAGAGGGAUGUGGAAUUCCAGGUGUAGCGGUGAAAUGCGUAGAUAUCUGGAGGAACACCGGUGGCGAAGGCGGCAUCCUGGACCGGUAUUGACGCUGAGGCGCGAAAGCUAGGGGAGCAAACGGG
rnacentral:rRNA from 1 species